GAAGGAACUAGACUUAACCUGACACAUGAUUUGGCAGGCCUCAAUCACAAGUGCUCUGAUACUGGCUUGCAGAAACCCAUUUUUGGAUUUGGCUUUGACUUUCAAAUGUUGUCCAGGGCAAGCAGGAAAGUACCUCUGGCUGGGCCCUGGGUGAGGUGCCACGCUGUGGAAAACACAGGAUCACCACAGGAAUCCGUCAUGAGGAAGGUGUUCUACAUGCUACAAAGGACUGAAGGACAGUGACCUCAAGUGAGCUGGAAUUCUACCACUUGAGCCAUACCUCCUUUGUGAUGAUUAACUGGAAGUAUUUGUCUGUCUGAGCUGACUUUGAGCCUCUAUCCUCAGAUCACAGCAUCUUGCAUAGCUCAGAUUACAGGUUUGGGUGUCAUCUUCAGCAAAAAGGUUGAUGGUGGCUCACUCCUACACCAAAGGAAUGUGAAGAAAAAAAGAGAAUCCCUGCAACCAAGAUGAGCUGGUUAUCUGCUCACAUUGCACUUGCCCACAGUAAGCCGCAUGAUCACAGCUAGAUACAAAGGAGUCUGGGAAAUGUAGUGUGGUUGAAAAAGCAAUGAUCUAAUGGAAA